rnacentral:pre_miRNA from 1 species
CAACUACUCCCUCUGUCCCAAAUUUCUUGUCUUAGAUUUGUCUAGAUAUGGAUGUAUCUAAUACUAAAAUGUGACUUGAUACAUCCGUAUCUAGACAAAUCUAAGACAAGAAUUUUGGGACAGAGGGAGUACUUU